rnacentral:sRNA from 1 species
GCUGGGGGCAGGGGAGCAGGGGGGCACGUAGGCAUCCCCCAUGCCAGGCCUGAGCCUUGCUGUCUCUGCCACCCCAGCCAGUGGCCGAGGAGCCCUUCACCUUCGCCAUGGAGCUGGAUGACCUACCUAAGGAGCGGCUGAAGGAGCUCAUCUUCCAGGAGACAGCACGCUUCCAGCCCGGAGUGCUGGAGGCCCCCUAGCCCAGACAGACAUCUCUGCACCCUGGGGCCUGGACCUGCCUCCUGCCUGCCCCUCUCCCGCCAGACUGUUAGAAAAUGGACACUGUGCCCAGCCCAGACCUUGGCAGCCCAGGCCGGGGUGGAGCAUGGGCCUGGCCACCUCUCUCCUUUGCUGAGGCCUCCAGCUUCAGGCAGGCCAAGGCCUUCUCCUCCCCACCCGCCCUCCCCACGGGGCCUCGGGAGCUCAGGUGGCCCCAGUUCAAUCUCCCGCUGCUGCUGCUGCGCCCUUACCUUCCCCAGCGUCCCAGUCUCUGGCAGUUCUGGAAUGGAAGGGCUCUGGCUGCCCCAACCUGCUGAAGGGCAGAGGUGGAGGGUGGGGGGCGCUGAGUAGGGACUCAGGGCCAUGCCUGCCCCCCUCAUCUCAUUCAAACCCCACCCUAGUUUCCCUGAAGGAACAUUCCUUAGUCUCAAGGGCUAGCAUCCCUGAGGAGCCGGGCCGGGCCGAAUCCCCUCCCUGUCAAAGCUGUCACUUCGCGUGCCCUCGCUGCUUCUGUGUGUGG